GCACCAGGAGACACUCCAGGCCCAUUGUGGGCACCUCCUGCCACAGCCCUGGAGUCAGCCAUGUCUCCAAGGACCUGGUGACUUUAUGGGGAGCAGUCUUUGGAACCACGGCUGGGGUGCUCCCUGCCACCAGGAUGUCGUGGCUGCCGGGUGCUCUCAGCCAGCAGAGUUGGGGAAUACAUGUAUGUGACUGACCCUCACACACACACAUCUAUUUCUCUCUUUCUGAAUAUAGGUGAAAAACCACAAGUUUAUUCCAACCCCUGGGGUUCCCACUCAACACCUCAGGGCUCAUUGCCACCCCUCCGCUUUCUCUACUCUUGUUUCUACAGUGUGAGAACUCCAGGUCUUAUCUAUAAAGUUGCACGUUCGUGUUCAAUUCUCAAGUACAGAAAAAGUCCUUGCAGAAUUCCAGGGCCACGCCCGAGAGAAAGCCCUUACUGACAAGUCUACAUGUUUGCGCACGGCCGUUCGUCUUCAGAUUUGAGCAUCCAGGCAAGCUGCCACUCCACGGUGACAGGCUGGUUCCCUUCCCUGCCCCUUGGUGUGGAGCAGUACUCAUCCGUGACACAUCUGUGAUUCUUCGGAGUCACCUGUGCUGAGCUCAUGUCACCAAAUCAAGACUCACGCCUACCUGCAGCUUCAGCCUCUCCCAGGAACGUAACCCCUCCCAGCUGGCCUGGGAUUUCCCAGUCAGCCCUUGUGAGGUGGCCCUCCUCACAGACUGCUGCCCUCCCCAGAGGAAGGUGACUUGCCUGAAGCCAUCCACUCGGUUGAUAACGGCAGCAUCCCGCCCCUUCUGCCUGGAAAGCCUUCCGCUCUGUGCAGCUGUGCAGGGCUCUGCUAGGUGGGCUGCUUCUCUUCCUGAAUUGUUGAAUAAAGCCAAUGAGAUUUGUAAAAUUUA